rnacentral:rRNA from 1 species
CAGCUCAAAUUUGAAAGCCCGCGGGCGUUGUAAUUUGCAGGCGGAUGUUUUGGGGCGGGCGCUGUCUACGUUCCUUGGAACAGGACGCCGCAGAGGGUGAGAGCCCCGUGCGAUGGCGCCUCCAACCGCGUAAAACUCCGCCGACGAGUCGAGUUGUUUGGGAAUGCAGCUCCAAGUGGGUGGUAAAUUCCAUCUAAAGCUAAAUACUGGCGAGAGACCGAUAGCGAACAAGUACAGUGAUGGAAAGAUGAAAAGCACUUUGAAAAGAGAGUGAAACAGCACGUGAAAUUGUUGAAAGGGAAGGGUAUGCGAUUAGCGGCCAGCAGGAGGUGCCUUCUCGUGAAAAGGCCGUGCACCGUCUUCGGACACCGUGCGCGGAGAUGGCGAGGGGGCGCCUGAGGUCUGCGACUCGAGGUUGCUGGCGUAAUGAUUGCAUACCACCCGUCUUGA